rnacentral:rRNA from 1 species
GACGAACGCUGGCGGCGUGCCUAAUACAUGCAAGUAGAACGCUGAAGGAGGAGCUUGCUUCUCCGGAUGAGUUGCGAACGGGUGAGUAACGCGUAGGUAACCUGCCUGGUAGCGGGGGAUAACUAUUGGAAACGAUAGCUAAUACCGCAUAACAGUAGAUGUUGCAUGACAUUUGCUUAAAAGGUGCAAUUGCAUCACUACCAGAUGGACCUGCGUUGUAUUAGCUAGUUGGUGGGGUAACGGCUCACCAAGGCGACGAUACAUAGCCGACCUGAGAGGGUGAUCGGCCACACUGGGACUGAGACACGGCCCAGACUCCUACGGGAGGCAGCAGUAGGGAAUCUUCGGCAAUGGACGGAAGUCUGACCGAGCAACGCCGCGUGAGUGAAGAAGGUUUUCGGAUCGUAAAGCUCUGUUGUAAGAGAAGAACGAGUGUGAGAGUGGAAAGUUCACA